rfam:Nocardia donostiensis strain X1655 5, whole genome shotgun sequence.
CGCGACCGGUGAGUACGCC